rnacentral:rRNA from 1 species
UACGUAGGGUGCGAGCGUUAAUCGGAAUACUGGGCGUAAAGCGUGCGCAGGCGGUUCGUUGUGUCGGUGGUGAAAUCCCCGGGCUUAACCUGGGAAUGGCCAUGGAAACUGGCGAACUGGAGUGCGGCAGAGGGGGGUGGAAUUCCGCGUGUAGCAGUGAAAUGCGUAGAGAUGUGGAGGAACACCGAUGGCGAAGGCAGCCCCCUGGGCUAACACUGACGCUCAUGCACGAAAGCGUGGGGAGCAAACAGG